CACGUCAGCGCGCUUUGCUGAUGUGGACACAAAUCACGCUUCAAAGGAUGCGAUUUGUUGCCAUGUUAGUAAAGCGCACUUACGUGG
rfam:Gossypium hirsutum cultivar TM-1 chromosome 5, whole genome shotgun sequence